rnacentral:misc_RNA from 1 species
UUGGCUGCAAGAGUCUUAACAAGCUGGAUCUUAGCAAUAAUAGAUUAAAUGGCACUAUACCCAAUGAAAUUUGCAACAUGUCAAGAUUGCAAUACUUGCUUUUGAGUCAGAAUUCAAUAAAAGGUGAGAUACCCCAUGAGAUUGGAAACUGCCUGAAACUGCUGGAAUUACAAAUGGGCAGUAACUAUUUGACUGGAAGUAUCCCUCCAGAGAUUGGUCGCAUCCGGAACUUACAAAUAGCCUUAAAUUUGAGCUAUAAUCAUCUCCAUGGAUCACUGCCCCCUGAAUUAGGAAAACUUGACAAGUUGGUUUCUUUGGAUGUCUAGCUUUCUGGUACUAUUCCUCAAUCAUUCAAAGGCAUGUUGAGCUUGAUAGAGGUUAAUUUCUCAAAUAAUCUGCUUAGUGGCCCAAUACCCACC